GCCCAGAUAGCUCAGUUGGGAGAGCGCCAGACUGAAGAUCUGGAGGUCCACAGUUCGAUCCUGGGUCUGGGCA
rnacentral:tRNA from 1 species